rnacentral:rRNA from 1 species
UACGUAGGGGGCAAGCGUUGUCCGGAUUUAUUGGGCGUAAAGAGCUCGUAGGUGGUUCGGUAAGUCGGAUGUGAAAUCUCCAGGCUCAACCUGGAGGGGUCAUUCGAUACUGCCGUGACUAGAGGUCGGUAGGGGAGUGUGGAAUUCCUGGUGGAGCGGUGAAAUGCGCAGAUAUCAGGAGGAACACCGAUGGCGAAGGCAGGUCACUGGGCCGCAACUGACGCUGAGGAGCGAAAGCAUGGGGAGCGAACAGG